rnacentral:rRNA from 1 species
UGGUGGAGUGAUUUGUCUGGUUAAUUCCGUUAACGAACGAGACCUCGACCUGCUAAAUAGCUCGGCUUAAGGUUCGCCUUAUGUACGUGGCUUCUUAGAGGGACUAUUGGUGUGUAGCCAAUGGAAGUUCGAGGCAAUAACA